rnacentral:tRNA from 1 species
GGUUGGUUGGUGGAAGGCGCUGGUUAAACCGUUUGGUUUACAACCACUACGACCCGGGUUCGAUCCCCGCAUUGGACA